rnacentral:lncRNA from 1 species
UUUAAAGGAAAAAAAAGGAAAGGGAGAAAGAGAAAUCUUUCUGUCUUAAAGUGUAAUUAACAAUGGCUUCCUCAGUUCUUUCCUCUGCAGCAGUUGCCACCCGCAGCAAUGUUGCUCAAGCUAACAUGGUUGCACCUUUCACUGGCCUUAAGUCAGCUGCCUCAUUCCCUGUUUCAAGGAAGCAAAACCUUGACAUCACUUCCAUUGCCAGCAACGGCGGAAGAGUGCAAUGCAUGCAGGUAAUUUAUAUACAAUGACAGUGCAAAAAAUUUUGAUACAAUUAAUGCAUCUUAACAUGUCAUAGCUAAAAAUUCUAUUUUGGUGGAAUAUAGGUGUGGCCACCAAUUAACAAGAAGAAGUACGAGACUCUCUCAUACCUUCCUGAUUUGAGCCAGGAGCAAUUGCUUAGUGAAGUUGAGUACCUUUUGAAAAAUGGAUGGGUUCCUUGCUUGGAAUUCN